AGUCGAGCGAAGAGAUGGGAGCUUGCUCCCUGAUCUUAGCGGCGGACGGGUGAGUAACACGUGGGCAACCUGCCCUGCAGACUGGGAUAACUCCGGGAAACCGGAGCUAAUACCGGGUAAUACAUCGCACCGCAUGGUGCAAUGUUGAAAGUUGGCUUUCGAGCUAACACUGCAGGAUGGGCCCGCGGCGCAUUAGCUAGUUGGUAAGGUAAUGGCUUACCAAGGCGACGAUGCGUAGCCGACCUGAGAGGGUGAUCGGCCACACUGGGACUGAGACACGGCCCAGACUCCUACGGGAGGCAGCAGUAGGGAAUCUUCCGCAAUGGACGAAAGUCUGACGGAGCAACGCCGCGUGAGUGACGAAGGCCUUCGGGUCGUAAAGCUCUGUUGUUAGGGAAGAACAAGUACCGUUCGAAUAGGGCGGUACCUUGACGGUACCUAACCAGAAAGCCACGGCUAACUACGUGCCAGCAGCCGCGGUAAUACGUAGGUGGCAAGCGUUGUCCGGAAUUAUUGGGCGUAAAGCGCGCGCAGGCGGUCUUUUAAGUCUGAUGUGAAAGCCCACGGCUCAACCGUGGAGGGUCAUUGGAAACUGGAGGACUUGAGUGCAGAAGAGGAGAGUGGAAUUCCACGUGUAGCGGUGAAAUGCGUAGAUAUGUGGAGGAACACCAGUGGCGAAGGCGGCUCUCUGGUCUGUAACUGACGCUGAGGCGCGAAAGCGUGGGGAGCAAACAGGAUUAGAUACCCUG
rnacentral:rRNA from 1 species